AGCUGACCCUGGAGUUAACAGGCUCAGACCUUAAAGGGGGUAGUCUCACAGCAGGUUCACACCCAGCACUUCAGAGUUUCAGCAAGUAAGGCAACUGCAAGAGCAGUGGACCUGGACUCAUAGAUGGAGAUACAGGUGAUAAAACAAGUAUAGUAAAAUAAUUGUGAAAAUUCAGUAGUGCAUACACAGAUUUUCACUUCGGUAAAAAAAAAAAAAAGUUUGGACACAUGUUUAAGAUAUUCAUAAAACGUAGAACAAUGUCCCUCUUGGUUGUUGUUUUGGCCUAGCUCAGAGAGUUCAGUUUUUGCUGACAUCACAGCUGGGAAUGAGAAAGGCAGGGGGCUCCAGUUGGUCUCCCUCUGCCUCUCCACCACACGUACAGGACUUGAGGCUGCCAGGGGAGGAGCUCUGAAAGCUGAGUCAUUGGGGUCCUUGUGAAGGAGGGAAGCUCACCUGCCUUGGAGCCAGGAAAAUCCUGCCUGGGACAGAACUCUCAUGGUUUAAGAAAGCUAGAAGCAGGGCUGGGGCCCACCGCAUGCCUUCCUCUCUGGGGUCUUGGAAGGAAAGGGACCAGAUGAAGAGGAGCAGAAGACGCUUUCAAAACUCAGGUCAGUUAAAAUCUCCAAAUGCAUCUUCGUUAAAAUUAUGACUUUAGUUCCAUGUAAAUAGUUUACAUAUGCAAAACAAAUAUGAAACAAAACAAAAUAAUACAACAAAAGGAGGGAAGCUUGCCUGCCUUGGAGCGUGAAAAAGUCUUGCUGGACAGAAGUCUCACGGUUUAAAAAUGGGAAGGGAGAGGAUUGAGAUCACACUAGCAUGCACAGAAAAUUCUUAAAACAAAAAGAUAAUGAGAGAAACUUCAUCAGAAUGUGAAAAGAACUAUAAAGCUACAGUGCUGAAGAGAAGGCAAUACUGGCACUAGAAUGACAAGAUUCAUGGAACACAGUGGAAAAUCCAGAAAGAAAGCUGCAUGUAUGUAAUAUUUUAUCAUGUGAUAAAGUGAUAUGUUAAUAUCCACAAGGAAAUAGUCAAUUAUUUCAUAAGUUCUCUUUUGGAUAUUGACUUACCAUAUGGAAACAAAUAUUGCUGCAUUUCUACCUUACCAGUUACAAAUAGUGAUUUAGUUGUAAUAAAAAGAAAAUCAUUAGACUUAAAUGAUGAUGAAUUGCAUAGAAAUUCUAGGUGAGAUUGGCCUUUCUAAACCUGACAUCAAAGUAGACACCAUAGAAAAAUUGAUAGAUUUUGUUUUUUUCAAAGUUCAAUUCUCCAAAAGGUGCCAAAUGUAAAUAAUAACAAAUGAGGAGAAAUAUCUUCAACACAUUGGAUAAAGGGUCAGUAUCUCUAAAAUGGUGUAUAUUAAUUCUUACGAACCAAUAAGAAAAAACUAAUCCUCCAAUAGAAGAAUAGGAAAAGAGUGUACAAGGCAAUUCUCAAAAGAAGAAAUAUAAAUGAACUGUAAAGUUGUAAAAUGAUGCUAGUACUCCUACGAUGGGGGAAUGCAAACCGAAUUAACAAAUCUCAUUUUCUGAACCACAGAGCUUGGAUUGCAAUCAUUAUCAAAUUAAAGUAUAUGACUUAGGGAAUGUUAAUUAACCCCCCAAUUUCUAAUGUUACAUUCAACAGUACUUUAAAUCCUUAAUGAAGUUUCUGUGUAGAUUAAAUACAAUAUGCAUGCAAUGUGCUUAGUACAUUAACUACCAGAAUGUCAGUACCCAUAUUUACCAUCAAUAUUAUUAUUAUUAUUAGUCUUUUUGAGACAGAGUCUCACUGUGUUGCCCAAACUGGACUGCAGUAGUGUGAUAUUAGCUCACUGAAAACUCCACCUUCUAGGCUCAAGAGAUUCUCCUGCUUCAGCAUCCAAGUAGCUGGGAUUACAUGUGUGCACCGCCACAGCCAGCUAAUUUUUUGUAUUUUUAGUAGAGACAGGGUUUCACCAUGUUGGCUAAGCUGGUCGCAAUCUCCCGGCCUAAGUAUUCCUAACGACUGUACUACUCAAAUGCUGGGAUUACAGGCAUGAGCCACCGGGCCUGGCCAGUAUUAUUAUUACUAAUACAGUAAUUAUUGUAUAAAAAUUCCUGAUAGAUCAAUGAUGCCAUCAUUAAAUAAUCAACACAUAAAAACAUUCAAAUAAAUGAUAUGGACGUCUUUAUGCAUACUUAUGAAGUAUGUGCACCUUUAGAAGUAAGACACACAAUCCAGACACGGGAAAAUAUAAGAUUGAUUAAAAUGUAUAAAAACCAAAUAUAGGAACAAAAAUAUAAAUAUGGCAUUGAAAUAGAAUUGAUACAUACUGCGCUAUGACAGAGUGAAAAAGUUCAAGAAAACGGAUAAAAAUAUUGUUACCUAUAGUGUCAGGGAGAAAAGAGGAAUGAGAAGUCUACAAUGGAAGCUAAAAUCUUCAAAUGUGUCAUCUUUUAUAAUUUUGACUUCAGUUCCAACUAAAUGUUUUACGUAUACAAAACAAAUAUGAAACAAAACAAAAUAAUACACAAAUUUCCAAAAUAUAAAAAUGAAACUGAACAAUUAAAGCAGCUAUAUCAAUGUUGGCAUGAACAAAUAGAGAAAAACUAUUUCAAAUGAUUUUGUGGAAAAAGUAUUGUGAUUAUGUACACAAAAAGGAGAGAAAGAGAGAAAAGCAAGGAAGGAAGGAAGGAAAGAAAGGAAGGAGGGUGGGGUGAUGGAAGGAAAGGAGGAAGGGAGGGAGGGAGAGAAAAUGAUAAAAGCAAGCAUGGAAGUAAGAAAGGAGAGCGAGAAUAAAAGGGAGGGCAGAGAGAGAGAAUGUUCAACUGCAUAUAUUGGCCUAGUGUUUUAGUGGUCAUUAUAGUAUUGCUUAUAUUGUUAUAGACAUAAGGAAUAAGCACCACUCUCAGCUGCGAUCUCUGGACCAUUAUUGGAUGUAUGAUUCAGUAUGAAUACCCUUCCCAUUUUUGUCCAAAAUGUCUUGCUUCACAGCUGGACCCUAGCUGUACCUGUCUGUCCUAGGAAGCAGAGUGAGUGGGCCUUCCCCAUGUUCUAGGAGAGCUGAGAGAAACUUGCUCUCAGCCAGGCUGCUUAGCUGAGGCUUGGAGGUGGCAGCUUGGUCUUCAGGAAAGUCCUGGGGGAGGGUGGGGAACAGGGUGCAGCUGCUGCCAGGGGAGUGUGAUAUUGCAGGGGAGAUCAGGAGUUAAGCUGUGUUUCUCUUUGUACAGAAUACAGUAAAUUCAGGGCAGGAAAUGAGAGUUGGCUGGUCUAUCUUGUGUACCAGAAGCAACCACAGGCAGAUUUUCAGUGUCUGAAUCACUGUGCCUGUCCCAGGUGGCACAGUAAUAGAACCCAGAAUCAUUUUUAAUUAGAUUUUGCAGUCUCAAAUUCCAAUUGCUCCUUGUGCUUCCAGUGUCAUACUUUCCUGGAGUGAUUCCUGAUUCCAGCACAACCCUGGAGUAGUAGGGUUCAUAGUACAGAAGACACUGUGGGGCCUUCCCCUCCUGGUGCAGGUACCAGUGGAUGUAUAAGGUACUUGCUCCAGGAAGAUCACAGGUGAUUUCAGCAGAUGACCCAGUCAGCCUGGUGACUGACUUCGUUCUCCCUUCCAAGUUGGAAGAUAUCUGACUGGCUGCAAUGGGAACAACACAAAAUAUAAUGAGGCAUUUCUUAGUAUGUCGCUCCUUGCAAAAGAAGAAAAUAACAAAACAAAACAAAACCCGUGAUCCUCUCUGUAGGCAGCGCACUCACCAGGAGACAGGAAAGCUAGAAGCACCGCUAGGGCCCACCGCAUGCCUUCCUCUCUGGGGCCUUGGAAGGAAAGGGACCAGAUGAAGAGGAGCAGAAGAUCCUCUUAAAACUCAGGCCCCACUCAACAAGGAAGUGAUCCCUAGCACAGAAGACAGUAAGAGGAGCUGGUCUUCCUGAGUCACAGGCAGGGAGAAGUGACU
rnacentral:lncRNA from 1 species